rnacentral:rRNA from 1 species
AGAGACAGCAGUAGCCGCGGUAAUACAGAGGGUGCGAGCGUUAAUCGGAUUUACUGGGCGUAAAGCGUGCGUAGGCGGCUUUUUAAGUCGGAUGUGAAAUCCCUGAGCUUAACUUAGGAAUUGCAUUCGAUACUGGGAAGCUAGAGUAUGGGAGAGGAUGGUAGAAUUCCAGGUGUAGCGGUGAAAUGCGUAGAGAUCUGGAGGAAUACCGAUGGCGAAGGCAGCCAUCUGGCCUAAUACUGACGCUGAGGUACGAAAGCAUGGGGAGCAAACAGGAUUAGAUACCCCUGUAGUCCCUGUCUCUUAUAA